AGCAGCCGCGGUAAUUCCAGCUCCAAUAGCGUAUAUUAAAGUUGUUGCAGUUAAGCUCGUAGUUGAAUUUCGGGAUCAAUAUGCUGGUCGUGCCAUUGGUACGUACUAGUAUUAUUGGUUUCUUCCUUCUGAUGAAUCAUGAUGUCAUUAAGUUGAUGUCAUGGGGAAUCAGGACUGUUACUUUGAAAAAUUAGAGUGUUUAAAGCAGGCUCGCGCUUGAAUACAUUAGCAUGGAAUAAUGAAAUAGGACGUUUGAUUCUAUUUUGUUGGUUUCUAGGAUUGACGUAAUGAUUAAUAGGGAUAGUUGGGGGCAUUAGUAUUCAAUUGUCAGAGGUGAAAUUCUUGGAUUUAUUGAAGACUAACUACUGCGAAAGCAUUUGCCAAGGAUGUUUUCAUUAAUCAAGAACGAAAGUUAGGGGAUCGAAGACGAUCAGAUACCGUCGUAGUCUUAACCAUAAACUAUGCCGACUAGGGAUCGGAUGAUGUUAAUUUUUUAAUGUA
rnacentral:rRNA from 1 species